rnacentral:other from 1 species
CUUCCUGAGCCGGAACGAAAAUGUGUUUUUGAACGAAAGCGCAUUUUGGCUUUGUGGUUGUGAUGUUGUGUUUGCUAAUUGCCUGACAGGUGUUGGGCACGGUCGUUAGCUUCCUACCCCAUAGGAUUAGCGAUUAAUUCUGAACAUUUACCCUAUUUAUCAUAGUCUUUAUGUAGCACCGCUCUGGCGGUGCUUUUUUUU